CAGGUGGCUGAACUGGUAACCAGUGAGUUCUUUGAACAAGGAGACAGAGAAAGAGCUGAACUCAAACUCACCCCUUCGGCUAUUUUUGAUCGAAACCGAAAAGAUGAACUGCCUCGGUUACAAUUGGAAUGGAUUGAUAGUAUCUGCAUGCCUCUGUAUCAGGCCUUAGUAAAAGUAAAUGUGAAAUUGAAGCCCAUGUUGGAUUCUAUUGCUGUGAAUAGAAGUAAAUGGGAAGAGCUGCACCAGAAAAUGUUGCUUUCUCAGAUACCUUCUUCAUCUUCUUCUUCCAGUCUCACUGUGUCAGUAGAAGAUAUCAGUUAAGGCUACCUCCAUAGGUUGCCAUUGCAAACUGUCUCUCAAAAGUCUCUCUUUGGCUUUGCUGCAAUUUUUUUUAAAGCUGCCACAGACAAGCUUGGGGCACUGGAGUUGAUCCCAUUAACCAGGAAAUGGCUUUCACCUUUGGGUUUAGUCAUUCUGAACAGCAAGUGGAUCUGGAAUAAUACGGGAAGAUAUGAGGCACAGAGAAUGCUGUGGAUGAAAGGGUCAUCUUUCCACUGCUGCUGUAUAGAAAAUAUUCAUAUCAUAGCAUCUGGGACAGAAAAAAUUGUCUCUGACCCAAAGCAAUGAUUGGAACACAGGUGGGUUGGUCAGUGUUCACACAAGAAGCUAAGGGAGUACAGAAUUAUGAUGUUGUUUAUAUAUCACGCCCCUAUUUGUUACAAGCUAAAUAUUGCUUGUUUUUCUGUUCUUUGCUUGCUUUUGCUAUUUUCCUUUUUAUGCCAGGAUGUACCAAGGACUCUCCUUUGUAUUCUACAGAUUUUUUUUUUUUUUUUAACAAUGAAGCUUCUUUGUGAUUGUUUAUAGAAUACUUUAUCUUGGAUACUCUUUAAAAAAGAAUGUUAUCUUUAAAAGCUUCGACUUGUGCCAAUUAACCCCGGAAGAAGUCCAUAGUAAGAAUGCAGUAAAUUUGUUUGGCCAAUGUACGUUUAUAUAAAAGUAAUAACACAGAAUGGGGAUUGUGGGCCCUGCAUUCUGAGCUGCCCUAUUUAAUAUUCACAGUGGAAUGUGCCUCCUCCCAGGAGAAAAGGAUUAACGGACUUUAAUUAAAGUAUGAAUGGAAAAGAAA